rnacentral:rRNA from 1 species
UACGUAGGGUGCGAGCGUUGUCCGGAAUUAUUGGGCGUAAAGAGCUCGUAGGCGGUGUGUCACGUCGGCCGUGAAAACCUGCAGCUUAACUGUGGGCGUGCGGUCGAUACGGGCAUCACUGGAGUUCGGCAGGGGAGACUGGAAUUCCUGGUGUAGCGGUGAAAUGCGCAGAUAUCUGGAGGAACACCGGUGGCGAAGGCGGCAUCCUGGACCGACACUGACGCUGAGGAGCGAAAGCCAGGGGAGCAAACGGG